rnacentral:rRNA from 1 species
UACAGAGGUCCCGAGCGUUGUUCGGAUUCACUGGGCGUAAAGGGUGCGUAGGUGGUGAGGUAAGUCGGAUGUGAAAUCUCCGGGCUCAACCCGGAAAUGGCAUUGGAAACUACCUUGCUUGAGGAUUUGAGGGGGGAUUGGAAUACUUGGUGUAGCAGUGAAAUGCGUAGAUAUCGGGAGGAACACCAGUGGCGAAGGCGGUUGCCUAGAGCUUUGCUGACGCUGAUGCGCGAAAGCGUGGGGAGCGAUCCGG